GAUGAACGCUGGCGGCGUGCCUAAUACAUGCAAGUCGAGCGAACAGACGAGGAGCUUGCUCCUCUGACGUUAGCGGCGGACGGGUGAGUAACACGUGGAUAACCUACCUAUAAGACUGGGAUAACUUCGGGAAACCGGAGCUAAUACCGGAUAAUAUAUUGAACCGCAUGGUUCAAUAGUGAAAGACGGUUUUGCUGUCACUUAUAGAUGGAUCCGCGCCGCAUUAGCUAGUUGGUAAGGUAACGGCUUACCAAGGCAACGAUGCGUAGCCGACCUGAGAGGGUGAUCGGCCACACUGGAACUGAGACACGGUCCAGGCUCCUACGGGAGGCCGCAGUAGGGAAUCUUCCGCAAUGGGCGAAAGCCUGACGGAGCAACGCCGCGUGAGUGAUGACGGUCUUCGGAUCGUAAAACUCUGUUAUUAGGGAAGAACAAAUGUGUAAGUAACUAUGCACGUCUUGACGGUACCUAAUCAGAAAGCCACGGCUAACUACGUG
rnacentral:rRNA from 1 species